UUUUAUNGNUUUCUGCUCAUGGUUAUAAAUAGCCGCAAUUAUAUUGUGCUAAGGUAGCAUAAUCAUUAGUCUUUUAAUUAAAGACCAGCACGAAAGAUCUAACAUUUUAAUUUCUAUUAUAUAUAAACUUAUUAAAAUUAUUUUAAAUGUAAAAAAACAUUUAUACAAAAAAAAGACAACAAGACCCUAUUGAACUUCACUUUAGUUUAACUGGGGCAGUUGAUUAAUUAAAAUUUUAAUUUACAUUAAAUUACCAAUUGACCCGAUUCAAUCGAUCAUUUAACCAAGUUACCAUAGGGAUAACAGCGUAAUAAUUUUUCAAAGACCUUAUUUAAAAAAUUGAUUGCGACCUCGAUGUUGAAUUAAUUAUCUAUUUAAUGCAAUAAUUAAAAAAGAAAGUCUGUUCGACUUUUAAAUAAUUACAUGAUCUGAGUCAAAANCCGGAGA
rnacentral:rRNA from 1 species